UCCGAGUUGACCCCGGCAGUCUCCCAUGAGUCCCCGCCAUUACGCGCUGGCAACAUGGAACGAGGGUUGCGCUCGUUGCGGGACUUAACCCAACAUCUCACGACACGAGCUGACGACAGCCAUGCACCACCUGUGAAGGUGCCCCGAAGGGAAGCCGUGUUUCCACGGCGGUCACCCACAUGUCAAGCCCAGGUAAGGUUCUUCGCGUUGCGUCGAAUUAAACCACAUGCUCCGCUGCUUGUGCGGGUCCCCGUCAAUUCCUUUGAGUUUUAGCCUUGCGGCCGUACUCCCCAGGCGGAGUGCUUAAUGCGUUAGCUCCGGCACGGAGGGGGUCAAGUCCCCCCACGCCUAGUCUGCAUCGUUUACUGCGUGGACUAC
rnacentral:misc_RNA from 1 species